UACGGAGGGUGCAAGCGUUAUCCGGAUUCACUGGGUUUAAAGGGUGCGUAGGCGGAUAUGUAAGUCCGUGGUGAAAUCUCUGGGCUUAACCCGGAAACUGCCAUGGAUACUAUGUGUCUUGAAUGUUGUUGAGGUGAGCGGAAUAUGUCAUGUAGCGGUGAAAUGCUUAGAUAUGACAUAGAACACCAAUUGCGAAGGCAGCUCACUAAGCAAUUAUUGACGCUGAGGCACGAAAGCGUGGGGAUCAAACAGG
rnacentral:rRNA from 1 species